GGUGGUGAAUUGUAGGUGCCACCCUGGGCCAAGAUAAAUACAGUGGCUGAAGUGUAGCUCCUCUGUCCUGGGCGGGAUUAAAUCAAAUCAGCACUUCUCAGCUCUAGUUUAUAACAUGGGUCCUAAACACCUGGACGCCGGUAAAUUACAGGUGGUUAGUGGGGUUGUGUAGCUUCGGGCCCGCGUUACCCUACGGGGUAGCUACACAACAGGAGGGAGUUCCGAGGCGAGCAGCUAAACCCGAGAAAGGCACGGGACGGGGUGACAGAUAAAUGACCAGCCGGGCAAGAGGUUCACGCGGUAAUAGUCAAAACGCGUGGCAGUGUCUAGUCUCGCCCCUGCAUUGUCGUGGAGUUGUCGGCCAUGACGGCUUCCAGCCCACCACCGCGCACCAGCGACCUGGCUGCAUGCGCGCUCCCCCUAGAGGGCACUACGAGACGCGGAAAGGGAGGGAAGGACAGAAGCCUCCUUAAGCCGCAUGCGCGCCUAGCCCCGUUCCGCCCGCUGGGAGAGAAGUGCUUGCGCCCGCGCGCGCCACGGAGGUACCGCCGCUCCAGUGCUUGAGCCGCUCGCGCUCAGCCGCCUGAUGGCCAAGCGACACGCGGAGCCGCUAGUGUGUCACGUGCCCUGGAAGCGUUUCCUAUCCGAACCGCCUCCGCUGCUCCGCGCGCCCGGGAGGCGCCCGCGGGACGGCCCCGAGCUGUGGAGCCCUGUCCGCGCGGUACCUGGGGACCCUGACAAGAAGCGGAAACUGGAGGAGGCCGAGGCGCCUCCGGGGAAGCGGCCUGGACUCAAGGGCAACAGGCGCGGGGGGGAGCCCGGAGACCCCGCCAGCCCGGGAGGGAGGAGGCAGCAACAGCGCGGGGGAGACGUAGGGCCCCGGGCGGAACAGGCGAUGCGGGCAGGCGGUGUCGGCUUGGGGGCGCGAAGCCCGGAUCCUCGGGGGGAAGAGCGGGGAACCGAGGAGAAGGUAAAACCCAACUUUUCCGGAACGCAUGACAGUUUAAUUUGACUUCACUUCACCAUUGGAAUACACACAAGGAGGAGCCCUAAAGAUAUACCAUGUUAAUGGCUGACAACAUUUCUGGAUUACUAAAUCCAAAGAGUGGAGGCUUCUCAGAGACUAAUUUUUCACUGAAAUUUUUUCCUGGCACAGCUGUUCUGUGCAGUGCUGCCAGAGUGGCCCACAUGAAGCAACAGGUCCAGUGGGAAGAUGUCACAAAUAAGUAUCAGUUCAAUUAUUAUUAUGAUAAAAGUGCAAUUUGCAGAUCUGUGAUACUGUCCAUUAUAUGCAAUAUUAUAAUGUAGGGGGAAAGUACAUACUUCUAACCUGUUGCAUAUCUUUAAACCUGUGGUGAGGCAGAAAAAUAAAUGAUUUAAAAAAUGAAACUAAAUGGCA
rnacentral:lncRNA from 1 species